rnacentral:rRNA from 1 species
AUCCAAAACUGGCAGGCUAGAGUAGGGCAGAGGGUGGUGGAAUUUCCUGUGUAGCGGUGAAAUGCGUAGAUAUAGGAAGGAACACCAGUGGCGAAGGCGACCACCUGGGCUCAUACUGACACUGAGGUGCGAAAGCUUGGGGAGCAAACAGGAUUAGAUACCCUGGUAGUCCACGCCGUAAACGAUGUCAACUAGCCGUUGGAAUCCUUGAGA